GACGUAGGGCGCGAGCGUUGUCCGGAUUUAUUGGGCGUAAAGAGCUCGUAGGCGGCUUGUCGCGUCGUCCGUGAAAACCCACAGCUCAACUGUGGGCUUGCGGUCGAUACGGGCAGGCUAGAGUUCGGUAGGGGAGACUGGAAUUCCUGGUGUAGCGGUGAAAUGCGCAGAUAUCAGGAGGAACACCGGUGGCGAAGGCGGGUCUCUGGGCCGAUACUG
rnacentral:rRNA from 1 species